rnacentral:rRNA from 1 species
AUUGAACGCUGGCGGAAUGCUUUACACAUGCAAGUCGAACGGUAACAGGUCUUCGGAUGCUGACGAGUGGCGAACGGGUGAGUAAUAUAUCGGAACGUGCCCAGUCGUGGGGGAUAACGUAGCGAAAGUUACGCUAAUACCGCAUACGAUCUAUGGAUGAAAGCGGGGGAUCGCAAGACCUCGCGCGAUUGGAGCGGCCGAUAUCAGAUUAGGUAGUUGGUGGGGUAAAGGCUCACCAAGCCAACGAUCUGUAGCUGGUCUGAGAGGACGACCCGGCAAACUGGGACUGAGACACGGUCCAGACUGCUACGGGAGGCAGCAGUGGGGAAUUUUGGACAAUGGACGCAAGUCUGAUCCAGCCAUUCCGCGUGCAGGAUGAAGGCCCUCGGGUUGUAAACUGCUUUUGAACGGAACGAAAAAGUCUCUAUUAAUACUAGGGGCUCAUGACGGUACCGUAAGAAUAAGCACCGGCUAACUACGUGCCAGCCGCCGCAGUAA